CCCCAGCUGGAGGCACCUGAUCCAGCAAUGCCGCGUGUGUGAAGAAGGCCUUCGGGUUGUAAAGCACUUUUAUCCGGAACGAAACGUGCGGGGUGAAUAGCCUCGUAAACUGACGGUACCGGAGGAAUAAGCACCGGCUAACUUCGUGCCAGCAGCCGCGGUAAUACGAAGGGUGCAAGCGUUACUCGGAAUUACUGGGCGUAAAGGGUGCGUAGGUGGUUUUUUAAGUCUGCUGUGAAAUCCCCGGGCUCAACCUGGGAAUGGCAGUGGAUACUGGAAAGCUGGAGUGCGGUAGAGGGUAGUGGAAUUCCCGGUGUAGCAGUGAAAUGCGUAGAGAUCGGGAGGAACACCAGUGGCGAAGGCGGCUACCUGGACCAGCACUGACACUGAGGCACGAAAGCGUGCGGAGCAAACAGGAUUAGAUACCCUGGUAGUCCACGCCCUAAACGAUGCGAACUGGAUGUUGGGUGCAACUUGGCACUCAGUAUCGAAGCUAACGCGUUAAGUUCGCCGCCUGGGGAGUACGGUCGCAAGACUGAAACUCAAAGGAAUUGACGGGGACAU
rnacentral:rRNA from 1 species